CUGCACACCCCACGCAUUUGUCUCACUUGGUCCCUGGCUACCUGAAAGAGGACCCAGGGGGCUGGGAAUGGAGAAGGUGGGGGAACGUGUCAGAGGUACUGUGAGGCUGUAUUGUCUCAUAUUGCCUUCUCUAGAAAAGGUGUUUAAAAAUAGACAACUGGGGAGCGCUGGUCUGAUACUAAUGAAAGAGAGAAAAAGAAGCAUCAAGAUCCAGAGAACUAAACUCAUCCUGACAGAGAUCCGGUGAACAAAAGAAUUCGUCUUUCGCUGCCUGAAGAGCUUGGUCCCUAUGACCCACCUGCCCAGGCGUUUCCUACAGCUGAUGUUUGAAGAAACCACCAGAAAUCACAAGACCCGGCAAUUUCAAAAUGCAACCCAUAAAGCUAAUUGCAAUUCUUCAUGUAUCCUCUGCCUCAGGAAGGAGCCAGCUCCUGUAUCCCUACCUGCAGAGAAGCUGUUUCUUCUCCAUUGACGGUGCUGCUUUCUGCUCUAUCUAGCCAGCCUCUUUGUGCUUGGAGAUGUCCUCACGCACUGUGUCCUCAGGGACUCUUGGCUCCCUUCCCUGCAGGUCACCACCAAAGACACCCAGGGGCACAGGCAGCUCUCCUGCUGUUUGUCUUCCCCACUGAAAGGGGGAUAGAGGCCACAUUCCUUACAAAUCCAACCCAAAACAGGGGCUGAAGUAUUGACAUUCCCCACCUGAGAUGCACCUCCGUGGUGCAGACCAAAAUCAAAGCUUGUCUUCAUGUGCAGAUGCAGCCAGACUGAUCUCACUGACCCCUUAAACCAAGAGGUAGGGAGCUGCUCUUCUCUGAGAAUGGGACAUAUACUUCAGGAUGUAUCUUCUGUUUAUGGCCAUCAGUACAGCAGCCUGGGCACAAACCCAUGAUGACAUAGCUUUGGCCUCCUUUAAAUAUCCUAUACAAAACUCAUCAUACCCAGAGGAACUGGAAACACUGGAGAGGGGAGCCUUACAGCUUCCACAUCGCAGCUAGCUCGUCAACCUGAGCUCCUUGGAGUCCAGGCAAUGCGAGUGCAUGUCCCACUGCUUCUCUUCAUGCAGGCAUGAUGUGAAAAAUACACUUCAGCCUUAUUUUCAUAAAUGUACAAGAUGACAAUGCCACCACUGCAGUCAGUCUUGUGAUAUUUUUUCCUCCAUCUAUGUUCCAAUGAAAGAACAUUGUGUUUAGCUUGUGAAAUGUAAAUAUCUCAAAUCAUAGGAAAAUGUACAAUAGUUGCAUUUUGUUAUAAACAAUCAGUACCCACUAGGAAAAUGCUAGAAGAAUGAAACCCUCUUCCUGUUGAUUGUGCAUGCUAUGCUUUCAGGCAAAAUGGCAUUUCCCUCCAAGACCUGAUGCUCCAUUCUUUCCCAGCAUUUGCUAUUGACAUAACUUCCUAAGUUAUUGUUAUUCCUCUUAUUGAUUAUUAUUGCCAAUACAUGGAAGGCUCACACCAGCAUCCAGCUCCUUCAAAGGCAAAAUGGAUAUCCUCACAAAAAAUCAUGGAGGUAGAGGAAGGUGUGAAAGACCAGAAUUAAUAAAUGGGGGUGCCAACUGUACAAGAACUAUUGUAGUCUAUGCACCUGUUUGUCUGAAUGUGUUAUUCUAUGCAGAAUGAGGAAAUUCUAACAUUGAAGUUACUGCAGGAACUGAGUUGUGCAGAUCAAAGUGAUAAUUACCAUGUUCUAGAAAUCCUUAUUUUUGAUGAUGAGGUUUUUUAAGCCUAUAACAACACAUAGCUCCAAUUGCAAAAGCUUAAAAUUGCCUCUUCAGUAGAAGCAGAGCUUUGAUUUCAUCUAAUUUGACCCUUCCACCGCACUUGUAAGUGCACUCCAGCAUGGCUAGAGAUAAAAACUUUGAAAUUUAAAUGUGCAACUUGCAGCCAGGGUUGGAUUUGCGAGCUAGGACACAGAGUACCUUUUGAUGAGCAGCAGUUUUCAUUACAGCUGUCAGAAAAUACCUCCCCAUUAGGAAGUGAUGAGUACAUUUAAUUCAAGUCCAACCCUUCCAACACCAUCACUUACAGACACUCUUCUGGUCUGUGAGUGAGGUUCUAAUAAUACACUGAGCCGUGUGGGACACACCAGGGUGAUUAAUGCUUGGAUGUGAACAUACAGUGCACAGAGUAUAUAUUUCCCCCUUAAAUGAAUAUAUCUGGUUUUCAUUGAUAUUGAGGUAGAUUUGCUCUGUACUUGCUCACAUGAGGAAGCCUAGAACUGUGGGAUGUAUCAUUCAGUAAUAGCUCCUGAUAACAGUAACACUUGGAACGCGACAAAGUAAAAAAUGUGAAUUCAUAUUCACUUUUAAUAAACUGGGGUAAUUAGUCAGUUGAAAUGCAAUAGAAAGUGACAGCCUGUGACACAUAAAAGACUGCAGACUGACAAAGACAGAGCUAUUCUUCAUUGCGCUAACAUCCGUUUCUUCAUCAACAUUGAAUUUUUUCAGUCUCUUGGCAUUUCAAUUACAUUAUAAAAUGAAGGGCUAAAAUCCUGGCUCUGCAUUUUUUCCUCUCCUCUUUGAGACUAAAGAAAAGAGAUGAGAAAAACCAUCUCUGCUGUUUCUGUACCCCCUGAAAUGAUGUCAGUGGGCCAUGGUGUCCAGAGUACCUGUGAAGUGUGCAGGAGAAGGUGUUCAGCCUUGGCAUCAUCAAGGUGCUCCCAGGUCUGUGAAAUCCCGCCAAAGGGAACCCCCUGGAAGACAAAGAGAAUGAGGCAAAAUACGUAAAAAAGCAGCAAAAACAUUUACGGGUAAACCAAAUUUAACCAUGAAACUCCAGAGUCACCAAACGCUCCUUUACUCUUUGCUGGCAUCAUAGGUAUUUCCCUCUGCAUCCCCAGCGCUCAACACCUAAUGGGUGUCUGAUGGGGUGGUCAGGUAACUGAUUUCUGACAGUGUCACAUUUCCACCUCACCUGCUCCCCCUUUCCCCUGUGCUCCCAUCCCUUGUUGAGCUGCACUACAGGGUGCAGAGACUCAAGUGCAGGGAGUGGCAGCAUGGCUGGCAGGGCAGUGCCCUCACCCACAUAGGAUGCAGCCCCAUGGUACUCCAAGCAGAGCAGGUAUGGUGAUGGUACCAGGGUCAGCCACAGCAUGGGUCACCAGGGUGUAAAUACAGCUCCCAGACCAAGAUGGGGGGCCCAGCAGGGCUUCUCCCCACUCAUCUCUCAUGGCACACCCAGCGCCUGGAUACCCCUUAGCUUCUGUUGGCUCUGGUGCAUGCUGGACACCUCGGUGAAGUCAUGUAACUUGCUGUGUCAGCAUAAAACUAAUUCCUCUCCCUAAAAAGGAUAGCUUUCUGCUCAGUUAGCAAAAUGGAAGUAACCUGUGAGAGACCCGACCAUUUCCAGAGCUGGUAGAAGCAGAAGAGAAGGAUUGUGGCAACAGGACCAAGAGACGAAGGAGGAAAAUAGAAGGAGGAAGGUAGAGCUUUCCUUUCCACUCUCUUUUAGGGAGCAGCAGCGAGUCAGGUGGUUUUGCCUAAGAAAUUCCUGAUACUUAGUUUCCCCUUUUUCAUGAUGAUUUUUUAUAAGGUCCUCAUUUGAAGACAUAAAUGGUGUUACCAUCAUUUCAUCAUUUGAUACGGUUAAGCCUACAUAUAGCAAAGCAGUACCUUUUAUUUAGAUCACCUGAGACAACAGUAAAAGCCAGACCAGCUUUUAGGCACGUGAGUCCUUCCUCAGGACUGAAGUAGCCUCACUCACCACCUUGGAGCAACCUGGUGACCAGAGCACUGCUACUCUUCCCACCAUUCAGGUCCUCUGAAAAUCUUACCAUAAACCUUCAGCAGAUAGAAAGAAGUGAGAAGGAAGUAUUUUUACAUGAAGAACAAAUUACAUUUAAAUUCUUUUUUUUAAUGACAUCAGGACAUUUUGCUGUGAAAAGCCUUAGCUUGUUGACUGGUGAAACAUCAAUGACUUACCUCCCAGGCAUGCUAUUUUGUUAAUUUUUAUGUAUAGUUUUGAAAGCCUCAGAUGGAAGGCACCAAGGCUGAGCUGUAUUAUUUUCUCAGAAGCCUCAUGGUCUUAUUUAGUUCAUAUGUCAAAGCAGCUUUUAAUUUCUCAGCUGUGGGACUCAAGUCUUAAAAUACACCAGAAGCCAGAAACUCUCCUUUAAGUACCUGAAUGAAAGGGUCAGGUUUUCAACUGUUUCUAGACUCCUGCAGUUCCUAUUGUUUUAAUAGAGAUGUGCUGUUCAGGAAACUUAGCUUCCAGCUGUAGGCAUGAACUUCUGCUGUUGUGACCUAAUGCUUCACAGCUCAAUCACUACUUCUAUCACUGCAGCGAAAAAUGGAUCUGGAGGGGACAUGUAGUCUAACUAGCAUCCACAGAAAAAUGGUGAUGACCUGAACUACCUUCCACUGCCUACCUUUGAGUCUUAUUUUUCAGUGAAAAAGAAGUAAUCUUUGCAGAAGUGAAAUAAGGAACCAUAUAUUUUGAAUAGAUCUUACAAAUCUCAGAGAGAGGGUAAAAGGCGAAACUGUGUUAGCAACACUGUUGAAAUUACUCUUUUGUGAACCAUUUUGUUGAAAAACACAGCUCUGAGGUGUGCCUUUGAGUCCGUUCAUCAGUCUCUUAGGUGUUCUGCAGAAAGUGCAAGCUGGGCACUGUGAUAGGUUGCUGAAGGCACCUCUUUUUCAUUCUCUAACUGGACUUCCUGUGUCUGACAUCUCUCUUCUAUCAACAGUAAAAUGGUUUUUUGGUAACUGGGUAAACCAAAAUUCUGAAUUUUAAGCAGCCAGGGAUAUGAGCUUGAACCUGUGCUUAUAAACUUGAAAUUCAUUGCUUAUAAAUGUUUGAGCAAAAUUGAGGCUGUAUGAAUUAGUCUUCCAAAAGAGGCAUGAAGAGAUUUGAUCUGAAGCGCAGGCAAGUUCCUCGAGUGGUGUAAGUAUUGACUUGGGUGUUGGCACUGGUGAAACUAAACCAUUUUACACCAGCUGAGGGCUCUGUGUAUGUUUUUUUAAAUUCAGGGAACUUUUCACAGAUAGAGUUUUGUUCUUGCCCUGUUUAGCCAGCAAUAUUCAUGAUGAGAAAGAGCGUGUUUCUCUGCCAGGUCACUGCAGAAGUGAGAUAAAUGCGCAGAUGAUGAAGAAGUCUUAAUCAUAGUUUACUUUUAACCCUUAGAUUUUGUUCAUUACCUCUCGAGUUACUCGUUCUAGCAAAUCACCUUGGCUCUGGCAGAAAAAGCAAGAGAAAAAAACUGGAACCUGUUUUCACCUUAAGCAGCCAAGUGGUUAAAGGACUGGCAUGUAAACAGCACCACUACACCUAUGCUGUAUUAUGAAGUCCAGUGGGAUUCUGCUUUAAUCUUGAGAGGGAGUGUGAGGGGUUUGUUUUUCACAGGGGCUUUAGCCUACAGUUAAGUGCAAACACCUGCUGAAGUACUGGUAAUUAGUAGGUAAUUAGUAGCUAAUGUUCUUAGAAUUUAAAAAGAAAAGCUUACAUAAGUAAUUACUUACUAUUUCUUAUAAUGUGCUGCUUUUCCUGAGAUUUCAUAUCCCCAGAACAUUUGCCAAGUUCCUAGGUUCCUCAACAUACUAAAUUGUUUAUUAAUUACACACGUAUAUUGCUUGUAGAAAAAAAUAAAAUACAUUAAACCGCUGGAAACAGGAGUGAGUUAUCUUUUAAAUUACAGCACAAGACUCACUGAAAAUGACAGAAUUUGCAGAGGGUAACAGCUUUAGGAGGAGCAUUAAUUUGGGGCUGGGGGAGGAGGAUGGUGGUGGCUGGAGCAAUGAAAGCAACAGCUGGGUAGCCCAGAAUGCUUUCCUUUUUCUUGGAUGGGGGAUACAGAGGCACAGAGUGAGAACCAGGCUUUGUGGUGGGUGUUUUGCUCAGGCUAGUAAAUGUUUAGUGCAGCUGUGGACCCCCAAUUGGAUUCAUGCUUUCCCAGUUCUAUUCACACAUUUCAGGUGUGCUAAGAGUUGGGGGCUGCUUUGGCUCUGCAGCAAAGCGGUUUGAGUACUAUUUCACCUCUUGCAGGAGGAUCUUUUUUGGAUCAAUGGAAGAGCUAAAACAUCUGCCUCGUCAAACUCUUUCUGCAGCCAGCACUCACCAUUUUCAUAUAUGAGAAGUAUUAUGGCAAAGCCAUGCUUUUCUACAUGCUUUAGACCAGAGCUAACAGAUGAUGCAGCUAUUGAGGCUGCGAUUGCACUUACCAGCUGCCAGCCUUGCUGUUGCAGCAUGUAGGACAUGCUUUAUACAGAGGCAGAAAAGCAGAAUGCCUGCUGAGGUCCAUUCGUGACUGAAUGCUUCUCACCAUGUGUCCUCCCGUAGGACCCGGGCCGCAGCUCAGCAUAAGCCUCUUCCUACAGGGCAGUAGGGGACACACACCCCCUCUCCUCUCUGAUGAUGACUCUCCUGUGAGGUACAGUGCAUACAAAAGCAGGUUUAAUGUCAGCAAGGACCAUAUAAGGGUGAAUCAUAGUUCUACAGAGUAGUCCUUGCAGGGAAGACGUUGAAUUUUGCCCUCUGAGCUCCUGCACGGGAGGGUGGAACAAAAAAGCUUUAGGAGAUCUGCCAUCUUCCCUGAACCUAUGCUGUGCAGCAGGGCCCUGGGGACAACUCAGCUAUGUCUGGAUUUUCUCAUGUAGGACAGGGGGUUUUGGAAGACCUGAGAUGGGAAAACCUCCCCACUUUUCAAGGAAGCUCAGCAACUUGAAGGAGCAGCCUUCCAGACCAUGGUCAUGGCAAUGGUGGGGAAUGCCUCUGGAGAAAUCUCAGCUCCUAACUUCCUUUAUCUUGUCUUACCCCAUUUUAACUAGGAUUCUGUAAACUAAGAACUUCUGGGGAGCCUGGCCAGGGCUGUGAUGCUUUAACAGAAAGGUAAUUCAAUUGAAGGUGGAUCCGCUCUGUAAGGAUAAGCCAUGAAGAAGUGCUUUUUUUAUAGUUAUUAUUCAGAGUUUUGUUUUUAGCUUGGCACUGAAUAAGAAAAAACAAACAAACAUUCACAAAUUGGACUAAUUGAGAUUAAAGCUGCUGGUAGGCACCAACUUAGCAUACAGCUUGGGCUUCCUCAGGGUUUUAGGUCCUCUAGCAUUCUUAUUAUUUCUUUCCAAUCAAUUAAGCUGAAUGCAAAUGGCAAAAACUAAAAUUAAGAAAAAAAUAAAACAAAGGGAAAAAUCACUUCCAGAAAAAAACCCCAAAACACCCCAAGGGUGGGGGAGAGUUGGCUGUUUCAGCCAUAAGUAGCUCUGGAGAAAAACACCCACAUUUUCAUGCAGAGUUUUAAUACAAGCUGAUUAAUCUCUUUGAGGUAUACACCUUGGAAGGCUCCAAGCCCAGCUGUAUCUUAAUAGCAACUAAUAUCAACUCCUCUCACACAGAGCCAGCAACUCUCUGAGGAGGUGCUUAAGUGCUAGGGCAGCAUUUGUUUCCUGAGCUGUGGGUCUGCUCUCUCCUGAAGACAAACCAGGCACUCCUUUGUCAUUCAACUUUGCUUUAGAUGCAUACAACAUUUACCACGACUCAGGUUUUCCUGAACUGCAAAUGGCAUUGCCUGUUAGGACAAAGAAAAACUCUGAAUGAAGGCAUCCUAGGUGAUGAAGAGAUUUGUCCUUGCAAAGUCCUUAUGAAAGAGUGGCUUUGUGUCUCUCGCAGCAUUUCUUUCAGUGAAAAAGUGCUAGCUUCAUUUUUUAAUUAAAAAUAGUGCAUGCUUCAUACUUACGUGGUAAUGAUUUGUAAAAGUAUUUAUGUUUCCUAAAUAAGCAGUAAUUAAAAAAAUUAAACAGCAAAUCUGCAGCCCUUUAGGAGCUAUUUCCUGCCACUGUGCUAUGCACCAGGGAUGCGUGAGGCUUCCUAAUCAUUGCUGGGGACCAAAAAGCAGAUUAUUUGUGCUUCAAAGGCAUCGGUCUGUACAUCCAAAUUACAAAGUACUAUCCCUAUUAGUGGUGUAGGACUGAGAAUGGAGUUGUUGUGAUUCACUCUAAAAGGAAAAUGUACCCAUCAGCCUGUCUAUUUUAAUUCUUCAUUCUCAUAGCACGUUUUGCUCAGAAGGAGAAGCUAAGUUACUGUGGAGGGAGGUAUGGUAAGAAUAUUGACACAGGAGGAUAGUCUCAUAUUCUUCGAAUUGCAAUAGAAAACUGCUUUAAAGAGCACAGAAAUACCACCCAGCAGUUUGAGAAAGGAAGAGUAAUUAAUUAAAAUAAUUUUGAACACAAAUUGGCAUUAAAGUACAGACACAAUUUGGCCAGGACAUCGCAUGAAUGUACCUUGCCAAAGGGUUUAUGGCAUUAAAUUAUCUAAUCUAGCCAUGCUUUCAGACCCGAACAAAAGACCCAUUCUAUAACUCAGUCACCUCUGUGGGCCCACUCCAUGUACCCUGGGGUUCCUAAUGCAGUCUUAUUUAGCUUUUUCAUAAAGACCAACCUUGAAUAGAUGUGGUAUUUUUACUCUUUCUCCAGCAUGCUACUUGAGACAUGUCUCACCACAAAGACCCAAUUCAGUUACCUAAUCAGAAAUUUCAAAUGCUGUUUAAGAUGUCCGAGACAUCCACCAAGGCCAGCAGAUGUAACACAUCACCAAGGAAAGGCUCAUGGCUUUCUGGACCAGGAACUACUUCUUGUCCCAUAUGUCUAAUGGAAAUACCAGACUGAUGGUGUAGUGAUAUGAGCUGGUGUUGUGAUGUAGUGACAACACGUGUGAAUUUCACUGUGGUAGCCAGUUUCAUUAUUAUCAAGCAACAUAUUCUUACUACACUCAGAAUAUUGUUUGUUUUGAUUCUCUAUGAAAAUUUAGAACCAGAAGGAAAACAGUUUUUCUGAGGCUACUACAUCUUCCUGGAGAGUUACUAGAGAGAUGAGCUGGAUAAUGGCAUUUUCAGUUUGAUUCCUGAAAACUGGUUUGAUUUCAGAUCAGUCAUUUUACUUUUGAUGUAAACUGAUGGCAGAUAACAGAGCAAAAAUACACAUGUUCUUCUUUGUCUGAGUCUCAACUGAUGCAUCAUUUAUCCAGCUGAUGUAUCAAUUCGCACAUGAAAAGCUGUGUGCAAAUAACACAGGACAACGUUUAUGCAUUGUAGGCUAAUUUUGCUCUCAGUUAUAUCCAUUCCACUUCAAUCCAUUCAUUGGGGUUGACAGGUGUAAAUGAGAGCAGAUGAUUUUUUCUUUGUGACCUUAUACAGAAAUGAAUGAGAUCCUUCAGGACUUGGUUGCCUGUACAUUUAUAACAAUAAAGCAAUCAAAGUGAUCA